GGCGGAUGUAGCCAAGUGGAU
rnacentral:tRNA from 35 species